rnacentral:tRNA from 1 species
AGUGGUAGAACUCAAGUGGUAGAGCACAUGCCUAGCAUGCGAGAGGCCCUGGGUUCAAUCCCCAGUACCUCCA